GGAGAGGUGGCUCAGGGGUUAAGAGCACUGGCUGUUUUUCCAGAGGUCCUGAGUUCAAUUCCCAGCAACUGCA
rfam:Neotoma lepida isolate 417 scaffold_17206, whole genome shotgun sequence.